rnacentral:rRNA from 1 species
UACGUAGGGGGCGAGCGUUGUCCGGAAUCACUGGGCGUAAAGGGCGCGUAGGCGGCUUUUCAAGCGUGCGGUGAAAGCUCGGGGCUUAACUCCGAGUCUGCCGUGCGAACUGGGAGGCUUGAGUCUGGUAGAGGUCGAUGGAAUUCCGGGUGUAGCGGUGGAAUGCGUAGAGAUCCGGAAGAACACCGGUGGCGAAGGCGGUCGACUGGGCCAGUACUGACGCUGAGGCGCGACAGCGUGGGGAGCAAACAGG